rnacentral:tRNA from 1 species
UCUAAUAUGGCAGAAUAGUGCAAUGAAUUUAAGAUUCAUAUAUAAAGUAAAACCUUUUUUUAGAA